CAGGCUGUACCAGGCUCCGCUUUACACAGACUUCCCUGAAAUUCAAGGCUUUAAGCAACCAGACCCUGAGUCCUGUGUCAUUAAACACUAAGGUCAAAUAAUGGACAUGCAUUUGGCCUGGAUGGGCAGCAACUCCUACUCUUGGCACCCCGAGACCUCUGCAUACAAAGAGAUUGUGAUGAGAGGGGACCAAGGGGCCCAACUCGCUUCCAGCUCUGCAGGGACACAGAGGGAAACAGCGGAAGUCUCCUCUCAGCGGGAAAGCCAACCAGCCACCAGCCGUAAAGGCAUCGAGCUGAUCUCCCUGUGCUAUGCGGCUGCUUCCCACUAGCUAUCUACCUUCUUACAAAGGAAACCAAAUUCAGUCACUCCAGUCUCUCUCAAUCAAAAGGAAGGAAGAGUCGGAAAAGGAGAGGAAUCUGCAGCACAGAUCAGCCAAGUCACUUUUCUAUGGCUACCCAGCUGGCAAGUCUCAGAAGCCGAAGGUGCACUGGCGACGACCCUGCAGCUCCAGGCGUAACCACCGUGCGGCGCUGCUGGGCUGCUGGCCCCUCCCUGAGCCCAUCUAACCCUUCCAGGUGGGGGAAAUUAUAUUCUUUUUUUUUAAAGUAAUUAAUUAAUUAAUUUAUUUUUUGCU